GAGAACAGGACCGGCUGACCCAGAGGCUUUAAAAGCUGUAAAUCAGUACCAGAGUCACAACCCCAGCCCAGAUGGGGUAGGACCAUUUACCUGCUGUUAGAAUCCAUUUGUGUUCAGAGAGAUGAGUCACUUAGCCCUCUCAUCCCAGGGGAGAUGUGGGAGCAGGAACACAGCUUUGGGGAUGUUCUAUCCAUGUGAAAUGAAGCUGAAGAAGACAAGUCCUGGCUACUGAGGCUCCACACCUAAGCAGCUCCAAAGGCAAUGCAGGCUGGUUCUUAAAACAUGACUGUAAAAAUUGAUUCAAAUGGGCCCUGGGACUCGGCUGAGCUGGAGGUAGGCAAGUACUCAACCCAUUCACUGAAAAAUGUACCAGUGCCCAUCAGUGCUCCAUUGGGACUGGAAACACCUCAGAGCUGCUGUCAGUGCAGCACUUACUGCACGAGCAACAACUCACCCAGCUAAAGGGGAAAAUUAAAUAUAACUGUCCACACUGCUCUUGGCAACUCACCUGAACCUGCCUUGCACUCCCUGUGAGAAGCUCACUGCUUGCGGACAUAUGAGGCUUGCCUUUCAACCCUCACCCCAAAAACCACUUCUGUGCCACCCUGUCACCCCAUCCGGGAUAGCCCAUGCAUGCACUGGCUCUGGCAGAGCCCAGACUCAGGUUUUUUCCCAAAUGCAAGUGGGUCUCAUUCAAAUGUCCAUCCUGUGUCUGUUCCCACUGAAAAGUACCACCCUACCAGCUGCUCCCACAGACCUCAGCUGGCAGGAGGGCCCUUUCAUUCUCUCCCCAUAUCAAGCUCACGAGCACAUCUGUGCUCUUGCAUUAUGAAGAUGUGCCCAUUCCAGUUCCGGCCACUGACCCAACUCUGAACAGUACUUGAGGCAAUUGGGGCCAAAUCACAGAGAAAAUUUAAACCAAAGCACACAUAGGCACAAGACCCUAACAGCAGAACAGACGUUGCCAGAACCACCCAGUGCCUUUCCAGGUGCCCAGCUGCCCUGUGCUGCCCCAAAGCCAAGAGCGAUUGCUCCGAGGGUCGGCGGCCAGGCUCAGCCACCGCCCUCGGCUCCAACACGAGUGAGGAGCAGUGAAAGGCAGCUCCUGUCUGUGGUACUCCUGUGUAGAGAGGGUCAAGAGAAGGGAAAAUCCCACCAAACCCAACCCAGGCAGGGCUGGCCUGUGCCAGGUGCAGGGACAAGGUUCUCCCGCCCACCUGUGAGUACAGCUUAGCCCACCAGAACAUUUCCCGCAGCACCUCACUGCAUCGGAUCAAACAACAAAACCUCUCGCUACUCCAGCUGCCAUGAACUAGCUCAAAACCACUUCCUGCAGCCUCAGGUGAGCACAAGUUAAAUUAAAAUCAGAGCAAGGGCAAAGCAGGUGGGAUCAAAAUCUGAGGGUGAAACACCAACAGCUUUUUUUCAAAAUAGUUUUAAUUCUUGCAUCCAAGGAAACAAAACCACAUCUAGUUUUAUAUGCAUUUAAUAGUUUACCAAUUGGUACAAUAAGAUUUUUUUAAUAUGCAGAAAACAUGAAUAAAUUUUGUUUUACACAGUCUGAGAGCAACAAAUCUUACUGUAAAACACAGAGCAGUAUUAUAUACAUUCCUUUACCGAUUUUGUUUAAAUUGUGUCAAUGCUUCAGUUAACUCCUACAGCCUGGGAACUGUUCUCUCCAAUCGCAACCUCUAACAGCGCUCAAACAAACAUCUGACAUUUGCCUUCACGUCGAUGUCGGGAUCGACUCUAAAGCGUGAGGAUUUUGCUAACUUCUCUUCAGAAUGAACUCGGGGAAGCCUGAGGGACAGGCAGGACAGGAAAGCAGCUACUUACAUGACACAGUGGAAAGAUAAAAAGGCCAGUUAACGCCAGUUGUGACUUGCAAAUCCAACGCGACCCCCCCACUCCCCCCGUCCAUCCCACCCCUCUAUGCACGUGCUCUUGCUACAGGACUCUCGGUAUUGAUUUAAUACACGGACGUUAUAUACAGCUGGACACAACAGCUCACUCCAAGGGCGCUUCUCCUUCACUCAACUCAGCAUUUGCAAUAUUCAAAUCAUUAAGGGAUUACCAAGCCACCACUGUCUACAAAAACAAAGUAUUUUUCCUUUUAAACAGCUCUCAGGGGAGUCAGGAGCUGUCUAAGAGUGAUUUCUCAGGCAGUUCACAUGGUCAGGAAGCGGCAGAGGAGAGGCAGGGACCCCAUGCCCACAGUCCCUACUCACUACCAACCAGGGGUUGUUUUCCUUUCCUCAGUGUCCCGGGCACACAUUGGUCACACCACACACAAAAGCAGGGUGGGUUUGUUUCACCUUCAAACCACAAAAAAUGUUGCAGUUUCUGGCCCGUGUGGCAUGCCGCAGGCUAGGCUAAGCCCAGGGAUCUGCAGUGGCUCUGGUGACAGGCCAGAGCUGGGUCCUGGCACGUGCUGCCAGGUUCAGUCAGGAAGUGCCAAAGCACCAGGGACCCUCUCACCCCCUCCAAUGCAUCUAGUUCAUUACUGACCCAGUAACCUCACUGUUGCAGAUCUGAUCCCAGCAAAGGCACAGCACAAGCUGACAGUAACAGUGGGGACAGUUCCACAGCAUGUCCCAGUGUCCCCCUCACUCCCAUGCCUGUGGUGUGGCUCCCUUCCAGCCAGGGCUUCAGCUUUGGUCCGGUUGGGACCAUCCCUGAGAUGAUUCCCUGCUGCCCCAGAAGGCUCACUCUGCACCGGAGCAGCGUUGAGUCUCAACCAGCAGUGACGCUGCUGCCAGCACUGGUAAAUGCGUCUUUGCUACAGGGAAAAAAUGCAGUAGACAACUUCCACAUCACAGGUACCUUUAAUUUCUCAUUCAGGUUUUGAGUUAUGUACAUGAGGGUGGUUUACUUUAGACUUAAAUAAAGUUUCUAGGUCCUACCAGGAAUUAAACAGAUGUUAUUACUUUACAGUUGCAGAUGCACGGAGGGAUUUAAGAUGCACUAUUUGUGUAUCUGGAAUUCUCCAAUAGGACAAAAAGCAGCAAAUUUUUCCAGUCCAAGCAGCUAACGAACAAAACAGACUUUAUUCGUGCAUGCUUAUGCAGCAACACACACUGAGAAUGACAGAAACCACUGGAUUUAAGAGAUUAGCCUGGAUCUUAAACUGGCUCUGAAAACCCCCACAUCAGAACGCCGCUUUCUCCACCGCUUCCCAGAGGAUCCCACACCCCACCCAGCUCCUCCCACAGAACAAAGGGUCCUUCUGGGCUGACUGUGGAAGUUUCCCCCUCACCAGUGCAGUGUGCUCACCCUCCAGCCCACCCUAUGCUGGUCAGGGACUCUCAGGGGCAUUUAAAGGGACAUUUUAAAAGCCAUGGAUUAAACCAAAGGAAUAAAAUAAAGCACAAAUUCACCUGUUAAAACAUCAGCCUGGUACUUCAUUGUAUUGUCAAUUUUAAAGUUGAUUUUUAAAAACACCUGGUUAGUUUGAUAAGUAUUGUAAUUCUUGGUUAUCUGCAAUGGAAUCUGUCACAAAAAUGGUGAUUAAAAUAUUAAUUUAUAGUAUUUUCAUUCAUUUCAGAUCAAAAUAUGUAACUUUAGGGAUAUGCAAAUUAAAAAUUGUUUACACCAAACAACAUAAAUUCUAAUAACUGAGCUGGGCUGGUUUUGCUGAUAGGAUUUGGGUUUGGUUUUAAUGUUUAUUAUCAUUCCCACAGAUGGGUGUGGGCUUUGUUCAUGGCAUCUUU